rnacentral:rRNA from 1 species
GGGUUGUGAGGUUAAGCGACUAAGCGUACACGGUGGAUGCCCUGGCAGUCAGAGGCGAUGAAGGGCGUGCUAAUCUGCGAUAAGCGCCGGUAAGGUGAUAUGAACCGUUAUAACCGGCGAUACCCGAAUGGGGAAACCCAGUGUGACUCGUCACACUAUCAUUAACUGAAUCCAUAGGUUAAUGAGGCGAACCGGGGGAACUGAAACAUCUAAGUACCCCGAGGAAAAGAAAUCAACCGAGAUUCCCCCAGUAGCGGCGAGCGAACGGGGAGGAGCCCAGAGCCUGAAUCAGCAUGUGUGUUAGUGGAAGCGUCUGGAAAGGCGCGCGAUACAGGGUGACAGCCCCGUACACAAAAGCGCAUGUGCUGUGAGCUCGAUGAGUAGGGCGGGACACGUGGUAUCCUGUCUGAAUAUGGGGGGACCAUCCUCCAAGGCUAAAUACUCCUGACUGACCGAUAGUGAACCAGUACCGUGAGGGAAAGGCGAAAAGAACCCCGGCGAGGGGAGUGAAAAAGAACCUGAAACCGUGUACGUACAAGCAGUGGGAGCACCCUUUGGGUGUGACUGCGUACCUUUUGUAUAAUGGGUCAGCGACUUAUAUUCUGUAGCAAGGUUAACCGAAUAGGGGAGCCGGAGGGAAACCGAGUCUUAACCGGGCGUUAAGUUGCAGGGUAUAGACCCGAAACCCGGUGAUC